CACGUAGGGGACGAGCGUUGUCCGGAAUUAUUGGGCGUAAAGAGCUCGUAGGCGGUCUGUUACGUCCGCUGUGAAAACCCAGGGCUUAACCCUGGGCUUGCAGUGGAUACGGGUAGACUAGAGGCAGGUAGGGGAGAAUGGAAUUCCCGGUGUAGCGGUGAAAUGCGCAGAUAUCGGGAGGAACACCGGUGGCGAAGGCGGUUCUCUGGGCCUGACCUGACGCUGAGGAGCGAAAGCGUGGGGAGCGAACAGG
rnacentral:rRNA from 1 species